rnacentral:rRNA from 1 species
UCCUACGGGAGGCAGCAGUGGGGAAUAUUGGACAAUGGGGGCAACCCUGAUCCAGCAAUGCCGCGUGUGUGAAGAAGGCCUGAGGGUUGUAAAGCACUUUCAGUGGGGAGGAGGCUUGUUAGGUUAAGAGCUAGAUAAGUGGACGUUACCCACAGAAGAAGCACCGGCUAACUCCGUGCCAGCAGCCGCGGUAAUACGGAGGGUGCAAGCGUUAAUCGGAAUUACUGGGCGUAAAGAGUGCGUAGGUGGUUUGGUAAGUUAUCUGUGAAAUCCCUGGGCUCAACCUGGGCAGGUCAGAUAAUACUGCUGAACUCGAGUAUGGGAGAGGGUAGUGGAAUUUCCGGUGUAGCGGUGAAAUGCGUAGAGAUCGGAAGGAACACCAGUGGCGAAGGCGGCUACCUGGCCUAAUACUGACACUGAGGCACGAAAGCGUGGGGAGCAAACAGGAUUAGAUACCCCGGUAGUCGC